rnacentral:sRNA from 1 species
GUUUUUGUGCAUAUAAAGUGGGGGUGACAGUAAUUCCCACCUCGUAGGCUGCUGCGAGUCUUACAGGAACUAAUGAGUAUGACAGCCCGGGACAGGCUCCGGGACCACGUGUUUGCUAUUGUUACUCGUGGUUCACUCCGGGAGCUUUGCAGAGAUGUGUAAAAAUGAGGCUAAGCCAAGGUUCUUGAUGGCAUGAUUUUAACCCCCAGGGCACUAGCAGGGUUUAGGGACACGUGGCUAUCACAUCCAAGUAGGAACAAAAGCUUUUAGUGCAUGGAGGUCAAGGCUGAUGCUCGACACAGUGAUCGCAUUUGUCCGUAGGAUGGUCCUCCUGAGGAGAACGGGCCAGCCGUGCCCAGGUUGCAAGACCUGGAUGGGAGAUAGCAGAUGAGAGGGGUCGAAGGAAAGUGUCAGCGUCAGGAGUGAAGGAAUGAUAGACUUUAGAGCCCAGUCCCCUUCGCUGUAGCCCCCUCAGGGUCACAUGUGGGAACCCUGUAACAUGGUUCCCAAGACCUUCUUCAAUGACAAUGUCUGAAGGCCAGCACGCCAGGGUUUGGAGAGAUUUGCAGUGCAGGGUCCGUGGUACUGAGUGUUCUCCAUGUUCAUCUUUAUCCAUCCCCUUCCGCCCCUGUAGGGCUCCAGGUGAGACCCUGUUGUCGACUUUGAGCCUGUGACCUCUGUUGGGUGGCUAACACGAACCGGAACCCCUUGAAUGGAGCAGUCUAGGCCAAGACAGGUGCUCAGAGAGAAGUUUGGGGUCACUGGGUGGCCCCAAAUCUCCACAACCUCAUCUUCAUAAUGAGACUUCGGCUACUUUCUGUGUGGACUCGUCUUCCUUCAUGGCUGCUGGAAGCUGAACUGCUGGGGACAUUCUUGUGCACAGGUGGACAGAGACUUUCAUUUUUCUGGGAGGAAGGCCCAAGACUGUAGUUGCUGUCCCAUAUGGUUUAUGUUGGAGUUGCGAAAGGGACACACUCACGUUGUACCAUCAGAGAAGACUGUAUGGUAAUGGACAAGAAGGUGAGUGAGUGACCUCGCUGGGUCUGGGAAGGGAGACGGUGCCUGAGUGUGACUCAGGGAAGCAGGGAGUGUUAGGCAGAAUUUCAGUGGGGUAGCUCCCAGACAAGAUCUCUCAGAUGCUGCAGGUAACCGGUAAUGGAUGCAGCACAGGACAGACUG